AACGAACGCUGGCGGCAUGCCUAACACAUGCAAGUCGAACGAGACCUUCGGGUCUAGUGGCGCACGGGUGCGUAACGCGUGGGAACCUGCCCUUAGGUUCGGAAUAACUCCCCGAAAGGGGUGCUAAUACCGGAUAAUGUCUUCGGACCAAAGAUUUAUCGCCUUUGGAUGGGCCCGCGUUGGAUUAGCUAGUUGGUAGGGUAAAAGCCUACCAAGGCGACGAUCCAUAGCUGGUCUGAGAGGAUGAUCAGCCACACUGGGACUGAGACACGGCCCAGACUACUACGGGAGGCAGGAGUGGGGGAUAUUGGAAAAUGGGGGAAGUGCUGAACGAGCUAUGCCGGGUGAGUGAUGAAGGCCGGAGAGUAGUAAAGCUCUUUUACACGGGAUGAUAAUGACAGUACCGGGAGAAUAAGCUCCGGCUAACUCCGUG
rnacentral:rRNA from 1 species